CUAACUUACUAGAAUAUUGUUCCAUACUACUGCUUAUGAUAUAAAGAAUUAAACAGCAUUUACAAAAAUUCUAAAGUGUGAAAUUUUCGUUUACUCUAUAACAUUUGGAUUUAUAUAUUGUUGGUAAUUCUUGGAAGUUUGGUAGUAAAAUAAGAUUUGAAACAUCAAUACUAACACUGCGACAUUCCUUCAGAUAUUAUUCGCUUUAAAUUCUAACUAAAGCAGCAAAUUUCUGCAGCCAAUCUACAGCAUUGAUGAGUUAUUGAUCGGCGAUGAUGGUAACUGAAACUUCAGGCAGCAUGAAGGAAAGCUGCCAUUCAGAAGAAGACAAAGAGGAAGAGGGGAUGAACAACAGUAACCACAGUAGUAAGCAUCGACAGUUUAUGGCUAGGCUACACAGUACAAAAUCAUUUGUAGAAUCUCUUUUGGACCCCGAUGAUUCAGCUAUGCAAAGGUGUUUCCAGUUUCUGCUGAUUAUCAAUAUAACUUAGCUGUUGGAUUUCAUAUAGUAGAAACAGUAUAAUACAAAGCAA
rnacentral:lncRNA from 1 species